AUAUUUCCUUCUUUCUUAUACUAAUUGUUGUUAGCUCCUCAUUUUGCCCCAACCUCCCCUGCCAUGCCCCUAGGUAGUUGUUAAUCCAGUUCUUGUCUCAGCACAUACUUCUUAGACAUAACCAGAGUGCUUGAGGGAAUGAGUCAUUGCACCUGGGGAUCAGGAUCAGGAUCUUGGGGGUCACUAAGGUCUAUUAGCAUAACAAUUCACAAAAACAAUGUUCUACAUCCUACUUGCCUGAGUAGCCACUGGAGUCUUAAAAACUCAUGAACAGCCAUCUAAAAUGCAACUGUUGUUCUCGUCCUGUCCGGAGAAAAGAAAAGCGAUCAAAACCAAAGGACGCAGGAAAACAUUUAGCCGGUGGACUAAGGAACACAAUCAUCAGUCUCCACAACUCUGGGCCAGAAGACCUGGGUAAUGCCUGGCUGCUACUCACCAACUUCUCAGAAAGAGUUUACAGUUAAAAGUCCUGAGUGGAGUGGGAGAAAAAUGUAGAACAAAACUCAAGAUCAUAAAAGAGACCAGGCUCACUGAUGGUAGAGACAGGUGGACCUUUGAAACAUGGCCGUAAGGCACCCUUCAGGUCUAGAGCUGAACUGUGGUGAAAAUAACCCUUUAAGAUCAAGGGCACGCUUACCCAGUGACAAACUUGAGAGGGUUAGGAGAGAAGGAGGACAAGGACAGGCAAAGUGAGAGGGAUGGUACAAUGAGGGAACUGCAGUGCAUGAGUUGAAAUAAAAUAAGUACGAACUUUUGAAUACAAAACUGUUGAUCUGUAAACCUUUACCUAAUUCACAAUAAAACAUUUUAAAAAUUAACCUAUGCAAAGCAUGUCUGGUAAGUCUUGUAGAAAUUUCUGAUUCGUGCCAUUUGUGGACAGAGGAGAGAGAAGCAGUUGGUCCAAGGUUCCCCUUAAGUUACUGACUCCCAAAUUACCUACCCAAGUAACAAGCCUGAAGAAGAUCCAGCUUGAGAAGCAAUCAAAGGUGAGACUGAAGAGGUAUGUGAAAGAUAGUUUCCCAUCGAGCGUGUAUAUAUCUUCAGUUGCUUGUCUAUAACUUGGUUUCAUCGCCUGUUUUUAGAAGAUGGAGUCUGAACUGAUUUCAUUGUAAGUUUUUUAAUAGAUUUAUAGUUUCUCUUAACCCAAUUAGUUAAAAUUACUAGGGUUGUUGAGAUUCCUACAGAAAUUUUAAGCAGAUUCAGUAUCUUUAAACUUUCCCUUGAACACAUUGGCAGCCCCUCUUGUAAGCCCUUUGUUUCCCUAUUGCCACCUAUGUCUGUCUGCCUUUUUUUCUUAUCCUUAUCCUUAGUGCCUCUCACUUCUGCUACUUAAGGGAAUUUGUUAUAAUUAAAUUUGACUUCGGUCUCUGUAAUUUAGUAUGUAGUAAAUUAACACCACAGGGAGCAAAUGCCCCAGUAGUAUAAAAGAACAGAUGUGUUCACAAAAUUUGUCUCUCCAGCAAAGAUUAAUAGAAUUAACAGAAUAAUGUGUACACAUAGUGUCUCUUAGACACAGCUGUGCCAAUUUGUCUGUAUUUACAUCCGAAUACAGGGAACCUCUCCAUAGACCAAAGGCAGUCGAUGGAACAGAACAAGGGAAUACUAUGUGGUGUAAAAUCAGGAAAGGUGUAUGUCUGCAUUGUAUCAGUUUACCAAACUUAUUCAACCUGUAUGCUGAGCAGAUCCAGUAAGCUGGAUGAUAUGGAAGACGUACACAACAUCAGGAUUGGAGGAAGACUCCUAACCGGCAGUAUGCAGAUGGCACAAUGUGCUUGCUCAAAUCCAAGAAGAUGAAGUACUUACUGAUAAUGAUCAGCCUUCAUUAUGAAUUAUGCUGCAAUAUAAAGCCAAGCCCACUGCUGCCCCUGCAGCUACAUGAAUCCGGAGAAGCCUCUAGUUUAUGUCUGACCCAGGGAUUGGAACCACACUGGACUUACCACGUCUACAGCUGUGUAUCAUCACUCUCACCAUUGGUCCUGAAGGGGUCAUCUGUC